CGACGGGUGAGUAACACGUAUGCAAUCCACCUGUAACAGGGGAGUAACCCGGAGAAAUCCGGACUAAUACCCCAUAAUAUGGGCGCUCCGCAUGGAGAGUCCAUUAAAGAGAGCAAUCUUGGUUACAGACGAGCAUGCGCUCCAUUAGCCAGUUGGCGGGGUAACGGCCCACCAAGGCGACGAUGGAUAGGGGUUCUGAGAGGAAGGUCCCCCACAUUGGAACUGAGACACGGUCCAA
rnacentral:rRNA from 1 species